GAUGAACGCUGGCGGCGUGCUUAACACAUGCAAGUCGAACGGAAAGGCCCAAGCUUGCUUGGGUGCUCGAGUGGCGAACGGGUGAGUAACACGUGGGUGAUCUGCCCUGCACUUUGGGAUAAGCCUGGGAAACUGGGUCUAAUACCGGAUAGGACCAUCGUUUAGUGUCGGUGGUGGAAAGUUUUUCGGUGUGGGUUGAGCUCGCGGCCUAUCAGCUUGUUGGUGGGGUAAUGGCUUACCAAGGCGUCGACGGGUAGCCGGCCUGAGAGGGUGUACGGCCACAUUGGGACUGAGGUACGGCCCAGACUCCUACGGGAGGCAGCAGUGGGGAAUAUUGCACAAUGGGCGCAAGCCUGAUGCAGCGACGCCGCGUGGGGGAUGACGGCCUUCGGGUUGUAAACUCCUUUCGCCAAGGACGAAGCGUUUUGUGACGGUACUUGGAGAAGAAGCACCGGCUAACUACGUG
rnacentral:rRNA from 1 species